rnacentral:rRNA from 1 species
UGGGGAAUUUUGGACAAUGGGCGAAAGCCUGAUCCAGCAAUGCCGCGUGUGUGAAGAAGGCCUUCGGGUUGUAAAGCACUUUUGUCCGGAAAGAAAUCCUUGGCUCUAAUACAGUCGGGGGAUGACGGUACCGGAAGAAUAAGCACCGGCUAACUACGUGCCAGCAGCCGCGGUAAUACGUAGGGUGCAAGCGUUAAUCGGAAUUACUGGGCGUAAAGCGUGCGCAGGCGGUUUGCUAAGACCGAUGUGAAAUCCCCGGGCUCAACCUGGGAACUGCAUUGGUGACUGGCAGGCUAGAGUAUGGCAGAGGGGGGUAGAAUUCCACGUGUAGCAGUGAAAUGCGUAGAGAUGUGGAGGAAUACCGAUGGCGAAGGCAGCCCCUUGGGCCAAUACUGACGCUCAUGCACGAAAGCGUGGGGAGCAAACAGGAUUAGAUACCCUGGUAGUCCACGCCCUAAAACGAUGUCAACUAGUUGUUGGGAUUCAUUUCCUUAGUAACGUAGCUAACGCGUGAAGUUGACCGCCUGGGGAGUACGGUCGCAAGAUUAAAAACUCAAAGGAAUUGACGGGGUCAUAGCUGUUUCCU